rnacentral:rRNA from 1 species
GAGUUUGAUCAUGGCUCAGAACGAACGCUGGCGGCGCGUCUUAAACAUGCAAGUCGAACGGCAAGAGAGAAGCUUGCUUUUCUCCUAGAGUGGCGGACUGGUGAGUAACACGUGGGUGACAUACCUUUUGGCUGGGGAUAGCUGUUAGAAAUAGCAGGUAAUACCGAAUGUGACCGCAUCUGUUAGAGAGGUGCGAGGAAAGGAGCUAAGGCUCCGCCAGAAGAAUGGCUCGCGGCCCAUUAGCUUGUUGGUGAGGUAACGGCCCACCAAGGCAAUGAUGGGUAUCCGGCCUGAGAGGGUGAACGGACACAUUGGGACUGAGAUACGGCCCAGACUUCUACGGGAGGCAGCAGUUAAGAAUAUUCCGCAAUGGACGAAAGUCUGACGGAGCGACGCCGCGUGGAUGAAGAAUGCCGAAAGGUUGUAAAAUCCUUUUAAGCCUGAGGAAUAAGCGGAGGAGGGAAUGCCUCUGCGGU